UUUUUGAGGAAAAUUUUUUGAAUGAAUACUACAGUAUUCGAGACGAGGUUCAUGAUUUAUUAAAAAGUUUUUCUUGGAUUUGUGGUGGAUAUGGUGUACGAUGGGAACCCUAUCUAUCUUUGUAUGUGACUGUGGCAGCUGAAAGACAAAAUGAUGAAGAUGCCUUAA